rnacentral:rRNA from 1 species
UACGGAGGGAGCUAGCGUUGUUCGGAAUUACUGGGCGUAAAGCGCACGUAGGCGGCUUUUUAAGUCAGGGAUGAAAUCCCGGGGCUCAACCCCGGAACUGCCCUUGAAACUGGAGAGCUAGAAUCUUGGAGAGGCGAGUGGAAUUCCGAGUGUAGAGGUGAAAUUCGUAGAUAUUCGGAAGAACACCAGUGGCGAAGGCGACUUACUGGACACAUAUUGACGCUGAGGUGCGAAAGCGUGGGGAGCAAACAGG